GAGUCAUUGUAGCAUACAAGGCAUACGGCUCAGUAACGCGUAGUCAACCUAACCUAUGGACGGGAAUAACCUCGGGAAACUGAGAAUAAUGCCCGAUAGAACAUUAUGCCUGGAAUGGUUUAUGUUCCAAAUGAUUUAUCGCCGUAGGAUGGGACUGCGGCCUAUCAGUUUGUUGGUGAGGUAAUGGCCCACCAAGACUAUUACAGGUACGGGCUCUGAGAGGAGUAGCCCGGAGAUGGGUACUGAGACACGGACCCAGGCCCUAUGGGGCGCAGCAGGCGAGAAAACUUUGCAAUGUGCGAAAGCACGACAAGGUUAAUCCGAGUGGUUUCUGCUAAAGAAACCUUUUGUCAGUCCUAGAAACACUGAUGAAUAAGGGGUGGGCAAGUUCUGGUGUCAGCCGCCGCGGUAAAACCAGCACCUCAAGUGGUCAGGAUGAUUAUUGGGCCUAAAGCAUCCGUAGCCGGCUCUGUAAGUUUUCGGUUAAAUCUGUACGCUCAACGUACAGGCUGCCGGGAAUACUGCAGAGCUAGGGAGUGGGAGAGGUAGACGGUACUCGGUAGGAAGGGGUAAAAUCCUUUGAUCUAUUGAUGACCACCUGUGGCGAAGGCGGUCUACCAGAACACGUCCGACGGUGAGGGAAGAAAGCUGGGGGAGCAAACCGGAUUUAGAUACCCGGGUAGUCCCAGCUG
rnacentral:rRNA from 1 species